rnacentral:rRNA from 1 species
CCUACGGGAGGCAGCAGUGGGGAAUUUUGGACAAUGGGCGCAAGCCUGAUCCAGCAAUGCCGCGUGCAGGAUGAAGGCCUUCGGGUUGUAAACUGCUUUUGUACGGAACGAAAAGGUCUUCUCUAAUACAGAGGGCCCAUGACGGUACCGUAAGAAUAAGCACCGGCUAACUACGUGCCAGCAGCCGCGGUAAUACGUAGGGUGCGAGCGUUAAUCGGAAUUACUGGGCGUAAAGCGUGCGCAGGCGGUGAUGUAAGACAGAUGUGAAAUCCCCGGGCUCAACCUGGGACCUGCAUUUGUGACUGCAUCGCUGGAGUGCGGCAGAGGGGGAUGGAAUUCCGCGUGUAGCAGUGAAAUGCGUAGAUAUGCGGAGGAACACCGAUGGCGAAGGCAAUCCCCUGGGCCUGCACUGACGCUCAUGCACGAAAGCGUGGGGAGCAAACAGGAUUAGAUACCCUGGUAGUCCACGCCCUAAACGAUGUCAACUGGUUGUUGGGUCUUCACUGACUCAGUAACGAAGCUAACGCGUGAAGUUGACCGCCUGGGGAGUACGGCCGCGAAGGUUGAAACGUCAAAUGAAUUGACGG